UACGUAGGUGGCGAGCGUUAUCCGGAAUUACUGGGCGUAAAGCGUACGCAGGCGGCUUCUUAAGUCUGACGUGAAAGCUCCCGGCUUAACUGGGAGAGGUCGUUGGAGACUGGGGGGCUCGAGGCGAUGAGAGGGGUGUAGAAUUCCCGGUGUAGUGGUGGAAUGCGUAGAUAUCGGGAGGAAUACCAGUGGCGAAAGCGACACCCUGGCAUAGGCCUGACGCUCAUGUACGAAAGCGUGGGGAGCAAACGGG
rnacentral:rRNA from 1 species